UCGUGGGACGGCUUCAUUAGCGAUCCGCCAAGGGGCUUGUUCACAGAGAUUGUCUCUGAGAGCGAGUCCUGACCGCGCAGAGCGUUGGUCUCUGCGAGCAAGGAGUCCUGGCCGCGCAGAGCGUUGGUCUCUGCAGCGUGUGCUGAAUGUCGUUUGAAGUUUUGAUGAGGCAUUGUCUCAUCUGUGACAUCAUCCAUUCAAAAUGGCGGCAGAAUUGCCGAAGAAGACAUCAACACCUCGUCUUUUGUCCAGGGAAAUGCUGAAGUCUUUUACUCUGCUUCCCUCUAAGUUCCUGAGGGAGAAGUUUCUCAGCACAAAGAAGGAGGCCAGUCCUGAGAAGAGUAUUCUGCCCAGAAUUGGCCCAUUUAUAGACAGGAGUGAGACUCGUCGAAAGUCGUCAACAGGUGCCCUGAAACCGAGCUCGUUUGAGGUUUCCCCACCAGAGAUGG